ACGGGAGGCAGCAGUGGGGGAUAUUGCACAAUGGAGGAAACUCUGAUGCAGCAACGCCGCGUGAAGGAAGAAGGCCUUCGGGUUGUAAACUUCUUUACUUGGUGACGAUAAUGACGGUAGCCAGGGAGGAAGCCACGGCUCACUACGUGCCAGCAGCCGCGGUAAUACGUAGGUGGCAAGCGUUGUCCGGAAUGACUGGGUGUAAAGGGUGCGUAGGCGGCUCAUAAAGUCAGAUGUGAAAUACCGAGGCUUAACCUCGGAGCUGCAUUUGAAACUUAUGGGCUUGAGUGAAGUAGAGGUAAGCGGAAUUCCUAGUGUAGCGGUGAAAUGCGUAGAUAUUAGGAGGAACACCAGUGGCGAAGGCGGCUUACUGGGCUUUAACUGACGCUGAGGCACGAAAGCAUGGGUAGCAAACAGGAUUAGAUACCCUGGUA
rnacentral:rRNA from 1 species